rnacentral:lncRNA from 1 species
GCACUCCGAUCCAAAUCUACCUCCUUUGGCCGUUUGAUUAUGAGUUUUUUGUGAAGCUGUUCUUUUUCUGUUUCAACUGCUGAUCUAAUUAUGGUGGCAGAGCGUCUGGGAAAUUCCGUUCUCUCCCUAUCCAUAUUUGUUGGUGGUCGUAUUACAAUGGAUGGUUUAUGAGCUUCAAGUGAAACCUUUUUUGCAUCAGGAGGUCGUAUUACAAUUGAGGGUUUAUGAGACUCAAAUUGAAUGUCUUCGGUUCUCUUCUUAGAAAAUGUAAUCUUGUUAACUUUAACAAUAGACUUCCCAGUUUCAUUGUCAGAAUUGACUGGCAAGUCAGAAGUCUGUGGCAGUGC